rnacentral:misc_RNA from 1 species
CACGUAGGAUCCAAGCGUUGCUCGGAAUCACUGGGCUUAAAGAGUGCGUAGGCGGCUAUGCAAGUUGGGUGUGAAAUCCCUCGGCUCAACCGAGGAAUUGCGCUCAAAACUGCAUGGCUUGAGGGAGAUAGGGGUGAGCGGAACUAAUGGUGGAGCGGUGAAAUGCGUUGAUAUCAUUAGGAACAUCGGUGGCGAAAGCGGCUCACUGGGUCUCUUCUGACGCUGAGGCACGAAAGCUAGGGGAGCGAACAGG